AUUGAACGCUGGCGGCAUGCCUUACACAUGCCAGUCGAACGGCAGCACGGGUGCUUGCACCUGGUGGCGAGUGGCGAACGGGUGAGUAAUACAUCGGAACAUGUCCUGUAGUGGGGGAUAGCCCGGCGAAAGCCGGAUUAAUACCGCAUACGAUCUACGGAUGAAAGCGGGGGCCCUUCGGGCCUCGCGCUAUAGGGUUGGCCGAUGGCUGAUUAGCUAGUUGGUGGGGUAAAGGCCUACCAAGGCGACGAUCAGUAGCUGGUCUGAGAGGACGACCAGCCACACUGGGACUGAGACACGGCCCAGACUCCUACGGGAGGCAGCAGUGGGGAAUUUUGGACAAUGGGCGAAAGCCUGAUCCAGCAAUGCCGCGUGUGUGAAGAAGGCCUUCGGGUUGUAAAGCACUUUUGUCCGGAAAGAAAUCCUUGGCCCUAAUACGGUCGGGGGAUGGCGGUACCGGAAGAAUAAGCACCGGCUAACUACGUG
rnacentral:rRNA from 1 species